rnacentral:lncRNA from 1 species
GCACCUAAUAUUUCAUGAGAUUGCAUUUAUUUCAAUUGUUCAAUGAAAUAACAUGUAAAAAAUGAUCUAAUGCACUACAUUUUAUUAUUUGUCAACUUGCAAUCUCACUUUUUUUUUGUGUUCUAAUUUAUUUGUCCUAUUAAAAAACAACAAAAAUCUCAAUGGAAAAUAAAUCAUACUUAUAAAAAAGUUACAUCUUACCUAUUUGCUGUAAAAAAAAAAUCAUUUCUCUCCAGUUAGGCAACCAGUAGUCGGGAAAUAUGUGAAAUUUUGUCAACCCACGCUUUUCAUUGAUUUUUAGUAGCAUCUAAAAAUAUAUUGUUAAACUCUUUAAUUGCUUGAUCAAAUGAAGGACCAUCAAAUAAAAAUGAAAGAGCUUUAUUACUGUAAAAUUUCUUCACUCUAAGAAAGCAAUACCUAGAAGGUCCACCGCUAUCAUCACAGUUGGUCGGCGUCUCGUAGAUUAGAGCAUAUUGAUACCUGCAACAAAAUAGUCCUUAUUAAAAGUACGCCAUAAGAAAAAAUGGUCAAAUAAAGUAAAAGAAAUUUUGUUGGCUCUGAUACCACAGUAUAAGAACAGAGCAAGAGACUUCACGAAAAUAUGGUUUGACUAGUUUUGGAGCGACGGACAUCUGUUUAAGGUGUUAGAGUGGUGUUGGAGCCGGUUAUGGAAUUUUGGAGCAAGGUAAGUCUCUUGUCUAACCCUGUGAGGGGAAAUUUACACCGUAGGUGUAAUAUUCUUAUGUGCUACAUGUUGUGGGAGCUACACACAUAUGAGGUGACGAGUGUUUGUGCGUAUGCUAGAAUUCCUGAUUAUGUUCGGGUAGACUUAGGUUCCUGCAUGCUAUAAUUGUACUUGCUCGAUUAAUUUCUUUAUUUCAUGUUACGACUUGAGACUAGACUUGCAUAGGGUGAUAGACUCGCUAUUGUAGAGAUGUGAUGAGCUACUUGAUAAUCUGCGGAAUAAUUAGAGCUUCCCUUAUGAAUUCCUCCCGCAUUGUGCGUUUUCAUCGCAAAGCUUUCCUUAAAGUUCAUAACUCACACGUUUAUUCGUGAGUGGGGUCAAGGACCCGUUAAAACUUCUUAAUCUAAUAGGAUCUGGCCGAUCGCCUCGGCAAGAUUAUGUACUACACUCUCAUAGGAGCGCAUUGUUCGCCUCGGCAGUAUAAUAGAUGCAUCUAUGGUUCUUGUCGUUCGACCCUCGGUGAUGUACAUAUUAUUAUGGGAUCGGGUUGUACGUCUAGGCAUUUCUAUAAAAUACUCUUAUGGGAUCGGUUUGUUCGCCUCAGUAGCGUCGUGAGUAAUAUAUUACAAGAAACCAGCGUAUCUGUGUGUUUUCCUUAUUUGAGUUAUGACGACCUAUCUGCGAGGUCCAUUUUAUAUAUACUCCGGUUGAGGAGGGUAACUGAUAGUUGAGAGCUUAAAUCUACUAUUUAGAGGAGGAUUGUACCACGUACAUAUAUUUGUUUAUACUGUUUAUUACCCUGUCAUAUAUUUGUUUACUUCCUACUGUAUUUGAGUUAUUAUACCACUAGUAAGUGUCGAUGUCGACCUCUCGUCACUACUUCUCCGGGGUUAGUCUAGAUACUUACUGGGUACGCGUUAAUUUACGUACUCAUGCUACAUUUGUUGCACUUAUUAUGCAGGUACAUAUAUAUGUUUGGUGGUCUUUUGGGCACAAAGGUGCGGCUGUUGCGGGGACUUUACGGUGAGUUGCAUUCCAUGUUACUAUCCGCAGCAUAAGGAGUCUCCAUUAGAGUUAUUUAUAUUCUCCUGCCUAACUUGUAUUCCAGAAAGAUGUUUAUUAUUAUUGUACUCCUUAGUAGAUGCUCAUGCACUUGUGACACCAGGUUUUGGGGGUUCCUACUGGAUGUUCGUUGUUGUAGUUCACGUAAUUGUUACCAUUUCACCUUGUAAUUUAUAUUUUAUACGAAAAUUGGAAAAUAAAAUCACGGGUUUUCUACGAGUACCAGAUUUUACUCUACUUAUUUAAUGGGAUUCAUGAUUCUAAAAAUAAUAAAAUGAGUAACUAAGUUGAUUAAUCAUCGCUGGCUUGCCUGAUGGCGGCGUUAGGCGCCAUCACGACCUACAGUGAAUUUUGAGUCGUGACAUAAAGUAUAAAAACAAAGAAAUGACAAAUAAUUAGAGAUAUAGAAUACCUUUUUGCUUAUGGUAGAUAUCCUCUGCAGUGACGUGGUGCUGAAUCAACAUUUCAUGCUCUUUACCUCCUAGAAUUAAAAUUUAGCCUGGGGGAUACUUCUGUCAUUUUCAAUAUUCAGUUGAUUGCUGAUUCUACGCUUUCUAGGGCUCUCAAGUGGGCUUGGUCUGCCCGGUCCCGUCCUAGGUCCAUUCCCGAUCUUGUCUCGGGUCCAAUCCGAUCUCGACCAAUCCUGUGGUACCGAUAGAGUAAUUGGAUGGGGAGUAGGCAAUCUCGAAAAGGGGAUGGGAUAUGGUGUUGGUCCUGUUUGAACCGGCUCGGUUGGCCUGCUUCUAGUCCAGAUCGAUCUCAUCCUGGCCUAGACCGGGCUCGACUAAUAAAGUAUUUUGUUAAAAAUUUCUGGCAGAAAAUAGCCAUUAUCCAAUGGCUAUUUUGUACCUACCAAAAUGGUCCACCAAAAUACCUCAUACAUGAUGGUAGGCUAUAAUCUCGUAUUUUAGUCGCUUAUUGUACUCCAAUUUACUGUACUUUAUUCGUUUUGAGCUUUAAUUGAUAGUGUUCUUCACUAAUUGUAUGUUGUAUGCCUUGCAGGAGUGAUUCCGAGCUAUGUAGAUGUUAUAGAAUGAAUUCGAGUAAUUUGGAGCUUUGAAGUCUGAGUAAAAUCCCAAGGGAUUAAGCCGGGAUCAUGUUCGGGGGUCGAGGACCAAGUCUGAACGUCAAAAAUUGAGAUUUGAGUUGUACUCCGAGAAAAGUGCACUAGUGCGGCACGUGGAGCGCCGCGGCUGUGCAAAUUUCCUGCUGAUUGUCAGAACUAGCUCUCUGGAUUUCCCCACUAAUGCCCCGCAUGACGCGUCUCCCCAUGCGGCACGCCUGUGCAAUUUUUACAGAGUAACAAUCCUAUUUCGACUAGGGGAAGGUGAUUUCCUCUGGUCCCGACCCUACUUGGUAUAAAUACAUAAAAAAAUAUUAUUUUCUAGACUUUUGACAUACUUUAAACCUAAGGAGGCUAAGUAGGAGUUGGAAGAAUACGAGCACAAGGAUUUCAUCAUUCCUUCCUCACUCAAAACCCGAGUUUGGAUCGAAUUUAUGUUUUUCUAUACUUUAAUUAUAUCUGUGAUGAAUUAAUCCAUAUCUAUGGAGUAGUUCUCUUUAGGGUUUGAUGGAUUUGGUAUAUUGAUGAUUGUUUGUGGAUUAUAACUCUAGUUUUAUGUAUUGAAGCAUUUUUGGAUGAUUUAAUUGUUGCAUCUAUAUUUAGCUGUUCAUGUAAUCGAGAGAGGCAUAACUUUUGAUAUCUUUGCGUUAUAUUGGUUGUUGAGUUCAUUAAUUCUUCUUAGUAAUCGAAAGUGGCUAGUUGAAUCAUUGAUUAAAUCUAGUUAGGAGGAUAAUUGAGAGAGGUUCUCCUAAAGACCAUUCCACUACGCAUUCUUGCAUAUCUUCACGUGCUUAAAUUGGUUCAUCUUGUGAGGUUAAGACUUAAUCGAGAGAGGAAUUUUUGCUGAACGUUUGAACUAAUAAUUAAGUAAAUUCGAGAGACUCACUUAAACAUUAGAAGUGAAUUAUCUAGAGUUAGAUCCCAAACAAUUAUCUUGCACCUAUCCUAUCAACCCCUAUUUUCUCCCAUUGAUAGCUUUCUUGCUUAUCUUUGUUGCAAUAGUCAUUAGUCAAUAGCUUUAGAUUCUUAGCAAAUUUUAGUUAUUAAUCAUAUAAAUCUCAAUUGUUGAUUCUACUGGAUAGCAAUCAAGCUAGAAACUGUGAAAAUAUUGUUUAACUCUAAUCCUUGUGGAUACAAUAUUAUACUAUACUAUCUUUGACUAGCGAGCAUAAUUUAAAUGUGUGUUUCGAGCUCGUCAAUACACUACACAAUUUAUUUUUAAUCCCUAAGUUUAUAAAAUUAUAUAAUUUUAAUCUAUAAAUACCUCUUCAUAUUCUUUAUUUUUUUUUUUACAAAAAACUCUCCAUUAUCUUUCUAAUCUCGCUCUCUCUCUUUCUAAAAUUACUAUUGUGCAUUAAAAUAGUAGAGUUAUUUUUGGUACUAUUUGAUGCUACUUUUUCUUUUACUUGUUAUUUUUGUUGUUGUUGUUGCUAUUCUUGUUGUUUUUGUUGUUGUUGUUGUCUUUUUUUCCUUCUCCUUAUCGUCCUUUGUCUCCCUAUUCUUUCUUUAUUCUUCUUCGUCUUCUUCACUUCUCUCUCUUUUCACCUUUUCUUGAGCCGAAGGUCUAUCGGAAACAGCCUCUCUACCUGGUCAGGUAGGGGUAAGAUCUGUGUACACACUAUCCUCUCCAGACCCCACUUGUGAGAUUAUAUUGGGUAUGUUGUUGUUGUAUUUUUGGUUAAUUAAAGUAUUGAAGUUAUUUUGACUAAUUAAUAUUAAUUUUUUGGAAAUUACGAGUUAAGUUGGUAACUAGUUUGGGGUCGAUUUAGCAAGUUUCAACUAUCAACAUCAAUUAUAUGAUGUCGUUCAGUACAAUCUCCUAUCUCUAUCUCUUUAAUUAUUGUUAUAUAAUUUUAAUAAUAGUACUUACAACAACAACAAUAACAACAUACUCAGUAUAAUUCCACAAAUGAGGUCUGGGGAGGGUAGUGUGUACGCAGACCUUACCCCUACUUGGAAAGCUAGAAAGGUUAUUUCCGAUAGACACUCGGCUCAAGAUAAGGUGGAAAGGAAGAAAAUGGAAAAUGAGAAGAAGAAGAAAGGGGGGGGGGGGGGAAAGAAAGAUGAGGGAGACAAAAGACGAUAAGGAAAAAUAGGAUAAAAAGUAGCAUCAGAUAUUAACAAUCAGGGAGCGACAAUUUUCAGUAGCAAUUUUCAAGUAUCUUGGGUCUAUAAUCCAAGGCAACGGGGAGCAUGGAUGAGGAAGAGUAGAGGUCGUAUAGGGAGUGUUAUAAGAAGGCAAGGAGAGAGGCGAAGCUCGCGGUCACGGCGGCUAAGACUGCAGCUUUUGAAAGAUUGUAUGAUGAUAUUGGGGGCAAAUGAGGGGAUAGGAAGUUGUACAAGUUAGCCAAGAUUAGGGAGAGAAAGGCUCGGGAAUUGGAUCGAGUGAGGUGCAUCAAAGACAAAGAUGGUAAGGUAUUAGUGGAAGAGGCAUGUAUCAGGCGUAGAUGGCAGGAGUACUUCCAUAGACUUGUAAACGAGGAAGGGGAUAGGAACAUCGUGUUGGGCGAGUUGGAGAACUCUAAGAGUCGAGAGAUUUUGGGUUUUGUAGACGUAUUAAGUGCGAGGAGAUUGAUGUGGCAAUACGGAAGAUGAGCAGAGGUAAGGUGACUGGUCCUGACGAGAUCCCAGUGAAAUUUUGGAAAGUGGCGGGUAGGGUAGGCUUGGAGUGGCUUACUAGCCUGUUUAACGUCAUUUUCAAGACGAAGAUUGGAGGUGGAAUUUGAUGAUUUUGUUGUACAAAAACAAAGGUGAUAUCCAGAACUGCAAUAAUUAUAGGGGUGUCAAGCUACUGAGUCACACUAUGAAGGUUUGGGAGAGGGUGGUGGAGCAGAGAGUGAGGACAGGUGCAUCUAUCUCUGAGAACCAGUUCGGAUUUAUGUUGGGAUGGUCAACUACAUAAGCCAUUAGCUUCAAAUACAUCGCUUUCUUAGCUUUCACUUUUCCUUGGACCUUCCCAUUCCACCACCAAUCCCUUUUGUGGUUUAACAAUAGUACUUAGUUUUAUUAUAAUGUCUAAUUGUUUUAGUGGAAAUAGAGGUUAGGGAAGGGUCGGUGAAUCUAGUAAUACUAAUCCUAUAGAUGAUUAUACUCACGUAGAUAAAAUCGAUUAUUUUAAUAUUAAUCCUAAUGGGCAAUCACUAGAUCACGAACUCAAAGGCUGUAGAAUUUGGUGAAUAUAAUGAAGAAAAUUUAGAUGAUGAUAUACCACUAGUCCAAAUCCAACAACAACUUCAACUUAGACUCAAUCUCCGUCUGGACCACCUCCUAUACCUCCCACUAAAAGUAGAUUGUAUUAUACUUUUUUUCUCAUUCAUAUUGAAAAAAAAUUCUGCUUCUGUUCCGAGAAUUAUACUUAGUCGAACCUCGUUAAAUUCUUGUGUUAUUUUUUUCUAUUUGUUUUACGUGUGAAUGUGUGCUAGUUAAUCCGCGAUCUUCUGUGAUAUUUAAAGUUGAACCAGAUAAAUUCAAACUAGCAAACACUUUACUUCCUCCAGUGGACUAUUAGGUUAACUAAACAAAGCAAAGGGUAUAUAUUUUCAUUUUGUUUUUCUACAGUUGUUAGCUUUAUUCAUCUUGUAUUACCACUUACCACCAAAAACUAUUCUUUAAAUCGUCAAUCUUCAAAAUAUAAAAGCAACUAUCCAAACACAUUAGUAUAUUUUUUCAACAAAACGUUCCUCAAAAACUUUUUUCCAACAGUUAUCUAAACGACUCGAAGAAGUUUCAAAAGCCAAAAUGAGAAGUUGGGUUUUUUUCCGCUCAAAUAAUGUCUUCUAUUGCUAAUGUAUAAGUUGAUAAUAUAAGAUUUCUUGUACAUGCAUCAAUAUUUUGGGAAUUAUGCUAACUUUAGAAUCCAUUCAAUAAAAGUAUGGUUUUCUUAAUAAAAUACACCAUAGAUGUAUUUUCACUCUCUAUGACCAACACCCUGCUUCCAACACAAUACAAGGAGGGACAUGGUAAUGGCUGAGAGGAUUCCACUUGGCAGCACAUAGACCACUAGCCUAGGAAUUAAUCAAGGGUGUCCCUCGGACAAGGGAUAAUACAUAAUUACCCCAUUGAUGUUGUUCUACUUUAUCAGUUGCACCGUCAAACUUUACGGGAGUCCUAUGAUCUCUUAUCUUUGUUCGAAGUGGUAUAAGUACCACCUUUUGAGCCCACGUGGCAUCUAAAUUAUUUUUCACGAAAUUUUAGCGCGUGGAAUGGAAAAACAACUCCCAACUCUGUUUAUUUAUCAUUUUCACUUUUUUUAAUUUAAUAUCCUUUUACUUUUUCUUUUUUUUUUUCUUCUAUUUCUUCUCUUCAUCUUUCUCCUUAACAAAAUACCCAACAGAAGCCAAUGCCUAGCACUAAGAAGUCAUGUUAACUGGAAAAAAAAUCCAACGCUAAAGACCAACAAAUUAGCAAUAACCCAAUGAAAAAAGAUACCAAGUGGGGAUAUAUAAAACUGAGGAAGGGAUUUCAGUUUUGAAAAAAAAAUUACCAUUUUUUCCGAUGACUAUCUCGUCGGACUUUUUCACCUUUUAUGAAUGUUAUAACUCCUAAUUCUUUGGUAGCGGACCUCUUUGAUAGUUCGACCGUUAUCCCCCGUUUCGCCGUUUCUGUUACAAAAAUUCUUCCCAUCCAUCCUAAAAAUCAUCUUUAGUGCCUUGUUUCUCUUCUUUUCUUUUUCUUUUUCUUUUCGUAAUUUUUCACCGGAAAAAAUGGCCGGUGAGUUCGGCGUAUUUUAAAUAAUGAGGGAAUAUUUAAAAGGGAAGAAGAAAUGAGUAGGGAGGUGGAAUGGAACUAAGAAUCCAAAAGAAAAAUAUAUUCAGUUGGGGGCGGGACGAUGAAGGAGACUUAAAGG